GAUGAACGCUGACAGAAUGCUUAACACAUGCAAGUCUACUUGAACUUCGGUUUGGGUGGCGGACGGGUGAGUAACGCGUAAAGAACUUGCCUCACAGAUAGGGACAACAUUUGGAAACGAAUGCUAAUACCUGAUAUUAUGAUUUUAGGGCAUCCUAGAAUUAUGAAAGCUAUAUGCACUGUGAGAGAGCUUUGCGUCCCAUUAGCUAGUUGGAGAGGUAACGGCUCACCAAGGCGAUGAUGGGUAGCCGGCCUGAGAGGGUGAUCGGCCACAAGGGGACUGAGACACGGCCCUUACUCCUACGGGAGGCAGCAGUGGGGAAUAUGGGACAAUGGACCAAGAGUCUGAUCCAGCAAUUCUGUGUGCACGAUGAAGUUUUUCGGAAUGUAAAGUGCUUUCAGUUGGGAAGAAAAAAAUGACGGUACCAACAGAAGAAGUGACGGCUAAAUACGUG
rnacentral:rRNA from 1 species